rnacentral:rRNA from 1 species
ACGGCGAGUGAAGCGGCAACAGCUCAAAUUUGAAAUCUGGCUUCGGCCCGAGUUGUAAUUUGUAGAGGUGGCUUUUGGUGCGGCACCUACUGAGUCCCCUGGAACGGGGCGCCAUAGAGGGUGAGAGCCCCGUAUAGUAGGAUGCCUAGCCUGUGUAAAGCCCCUUCGACGAGUCGAGUAGUUUGGGAAUGCUGCUCUAAAUGGGAGGUAAAUUUCUUCUAAAGCUAAAUAUUGGCCAGAGACCGAUAGCGCACAAGUAGAGUGAUCGAAAGAUGAAAAGCACUUUGAAAAGAGGGUUAAACAGCACGUGAAAUUGUUGAAAGGGAAGCGCUUGUGACCAGACUUGCGCCGGGCGGAUCAUCCGGUGUUCUCACCGGUGCACUCCGCCCGGCUCAGGCCAGCAUCGGUUCUCGUGGGGGGAUAAAGGCGGCGGGAAUGUGGCUCCUCCGGGAGUGUUAUAGCCCACCGUGUAAUACCCUGUGCUGGACUGAGGUUCGCGCAUUCGCAAGGAUGC